rnacentral:rRNA from 1 species
CGAUAACGGCGUCGAGCGGCGGACGGGUGAGUAAUGCCUAGGAAAUUGCCCUGAUGUGGGGGAUAACCAUUGGAAACGAUGGCUAAUACCGCAUGAUGCCUACGGGCCAAAGAGGGGGACCUUCGGGCCUCUCGCGUCAGGAUAUGCCUAGGUGGGAUUAGCUAGUUGGUGAGGUAAGGGCUCACCAAGGCGACGAUCCCUAGCUGGUCUGAGAGGAUGAUCAGCCACACUGGAACUGAGACACGGUCCAGACUCCUACGGGAGGCAGCAGUGGGGAAUAUUGCACAAUGGGCGCAAGCCUGAUGCAGCCAUGCCGCGUGUGUGAAGAAGGCCUUCGGGUUGUAAAGCACUUUCAGUCGUGAGGAAGGUAGUGUAGUUAAUAGCUGCAUUAUUUGACGUUAGCGACAGAAGAAGCACCGGCUAACUCCGUGCCAGCAGCCGCGGUAAUACGGAGGGUGCGAGCGUUAAUCGGAAUUACUGGGCGUAAAGCGCAUGCAGGUGGUUUGUUAAGUCAGAUGUGAAAGCCCGGGGCUCAACCUCGGAAUUGCAUUUGAAACUGGCAGACUAGAGUACUGUAGAGGGGGGUAGAAUUUCAGGUGUAGCGGUGAAAUGCGUAGAGAUCUGAAGGAAUACCGGUGGCGAAGGCGGCCCCCUGGACAGAUACUGACACUCAGAUGCGAAAGCGUGGGGAGCAAACAGGAUUAGAUACCCUGGUAGUCCACGCCGUAAACGAUGUCUACUUGGAGGUUGUGGCCUUGAGCCGUGGCUUUCGGAGCUAACGCGUUAAGUAGACCGCCUGGGGAGUACGGUCGCAAGAUUAAAACUCAAAUGAAUUGACGGGGGCCCGCACAAGCGGUGGAGCAUGUGGUUUAAUUCGAUGCAACGCGAAGAA